AAAGACGCUUCCACGCGAGAGUUCCGGUCUUCUUCUACUCUCGGGGCCAGAGGAAAGUAGCUUCGAGAUCAUGCAGCUUGUAGUUGUUCAGCUGCAUUUAUAUGCGAAUAUGAAUUCUGCUGCAACUAAACCGCCUUGAAAAGGCAGCUUUGGAAGAUGUGGAGUGACUCACCUUCCUCACAAAUGACAGAAGUUUUGAAAGAAUUGUGGACUGUCGUGCCACUUGACCCGGAUGGCCACAAGGAGGAAGCACAGUGAAAAGAUGAAGCAGUGCUAAAGUAUGACUGUACAUGGGCCCUGAAGACAACACAAACGGAUGGCGUCAGUGGAAAGCAAACGCAACACCGGCUCAGGAUUAUUCCAUAAGUCUAAUGCCGGAGGAUAAUAUUAAAUGCAGGAUUUUAGUAUGAAAAUUGAGUCACGUUUGAUCAGAAGCAUGUUUAUUAAACUGUAUGUAUAAAAUUCAAGCAUUUACACAAGAGGUAACGGGAGUCCUGCUGGGAGGGCUCAGUCUGUGUUGAACGGUGACCUGUAAGAUUUCUUCUUCAGAUUAUCUAGGAAAAUCUGCUCCUCUUGGAGGUAUUCACGGUCCUGUAGGCAGGAAAACACCCAGUUAUUUAACAUAAUUUGUCCUAGGGAAAAAAACCUAUCAAACGUUUGCAGUUACUGUAGCUGUAAGUGUGGCGUUGAAGAAAAUGACACAUCCUUUUGCUACCCCCCUACCUCUAAUGUCACUCUUUAUUCCAUUACCUUUGUCGUGGAUGACUCGCUUACCAUUUGUUGUCUCCCAGUCACCAUUUGUCAUUAAUUAGCAACCUUAUGCAAACUGACCACUCUCCUUGUCUGUAUGUACAUACUGUCCCCUCCCAACUGUACAAACUGUUUUACUCUGUAAAUGUUCUGGGUCGGCUUACUUUCAGACUUACGCCCACCAUAUAGCGGAAUAGUAAUGAACACCCCACAACAAAAACUUUGCAUGAGGACUUUGGGUAAAUUUCUUCAACUGUGAAUAUAUUGAAAGGUUGAUGUGUAACUGUGGGCUGUAACCAGUUUCAAUUUCAUGUGUUCAAUAAAAGCCUGUACAAGAAAGUA